rnacentral:lncRNA from 1 species
ACGUGAGGAAGAGGGAAAGAAGAAACUGACAAAAGAAAAUGGAAGAGAGGAACGUGAGAAAAUUUUGGCCUCUUUCAAAAUAAAAAUAAUUGGCAUAAAUAAAAAUAAAAGAAAAACUAAAUAUUUAUAUUUUAUAAACAAAACAAAAUAAAUAAAAAGUCUAUCAAAACGCACUUGAGAACUCGAACCCAAAACCCAAAGGUACACUAAGACACAACCAACCACCAAACUAGCAAGUCCAUUUUAACAUGAAACACAAC